UGGGGAAUAUUGCACAAUGGGGGAAACCCUGAUGCAGCGACGCCGCGUGAACGAAGAAGGUAAUCGUAUCGUAAAGUUCUGUCCUAUGGGAAGAUAAUGACAGUACCAUAGAAGAAAGCUCCGGCUAAAUACGUGCCAGCAGCCGCGGUAAUACGUAUGGAGCGAGCGUUGUCCGGAAUUAUUGGGCGUAAAGGGUACGCAGGCGGUUUAAUAAGUCGAAUGUUAAAGAUCGGGGCUCAACCCCGCAAAGCAUUGGAAACUGAUAAACUUGAGUAGUGGAGAGGAAAGUGGAAUUCCUAGUGUAGUGGUGAAAUACGUAGAUAUUAGGAGGAAUACCAGUAGCGAAGGCGACUUUCUGGACACAAACUGACGCUGAGGUACGAAAGCGUGGGGAGCAAACAGG
rnacentral:rRNA from 1 species